GUAAACAUAGUUUAACACAAAACACCAGAUUGUGAAUCUGGUAAUAGAAGAUUGAACCUUCUUGUCUACC